rnacentral:rRNA from 1 species
GACGAACGCUGGCGGCGUGCCUAAUACAUGCAAGUCGAACGCAGUGGGGACGGGUGAGUAACACGUGGGUAACCUCCCAUCAGAGGGGAUAACACUUGGAAACAGGUGCUAAACCGAUCCUGAUGGAUGAACCCGCGGUGCAUUAGCUAGUUGGUGAGGUAACGGCUCACCAAGGCCACGAUGCAGAGACGACCUGUGAGGGUGUACGGCCAUACUGGGACUUAGACACGGCCCAGACGCCUACGUGAGGCAGCAUGAGGGAAUCUUCGGCAAUGGACGAAAGUCUGAACGAGCAACGCCGCGUGAGUGAAGAAGGUUUUCGGAGCGUAAAACUCUGUUGUUAGAGAAGCGGUAUCUAACCAGAAAGCCACGGCUAACUACGUGCCAGCAGCCGCGGUAAUAC